GCCCCGCUCACUGUGAAGACGGACUAGCCGCCUGGGGGCAGCCUGUGGUUCCAGGUGUGAUUUGCUUAUUGUGAUUUUUCUGUAAAUGGGCCUCAAGUGAUGAGAGCUGGUCGUUUAACCAUCAGAGUGGGGGAGCUAGGUGCCCACAAGCCACGAAAAAGGAAGCAGCUUUCACUGACCAUGCUGAGCACGGGGAGGUUCUUGUUGGACAGCAAUGCCAGGGAUGCCUGGUUGUGAGGGCCCAAGAAGCGGUUUUUAACGAAGCAGUGAUAGGCUGGCUCCACAGCCACGGAACUGCCCUUAGUGACCCCCGGGCACAGGCAGAGGAAAGCAGAGCACACACUCUUUGUGGACAGAGCCAGAGAGAAAAAUGUCAAGUCACUAGCAGCCUGAGAGCCUCAAGGUAGAGGAGGAGGAAACGGUCAGCGGAGUGGAGACCUCUCAGGGGUGAAGUCCCGUUUCCAACCUCAUGAAAAAAGUUCUGGUUGGUUUCAAGAUGUAAAUGGGAAAAUUCCAACCACAAGAGUCUUAGGAUGGAACACA